CUUAGUGGCGAACGGGUGAGUAACGCGUUGGUGACCUGCCCCGAAGAGGGGGAUAACAGUUCGAAAGGACUGCUAAUACCCCAUGUGGUCGUAGAGGUUAGAGGCUUUACCACUGAAGGAGCAAUCCACUUCUGGAGGGGCCUGCGUCCCAUCAUCUAGCUGGUAGGGUAAAAGCCUACCAUGGCUACGACGGGUAGGGGACCUGAGAGGGUGGCCCCCCACACUGGCACUGAAACACGGGCCAGACACCUACGGGUGGCAGCAGUAGGGAAUAUUGCACAAUGGGCGAAAGCCUGAUGCAGCAACGCAGAGUGCACGAUGAAGGCCUUCGGGUAGUAAAAUGCUUUUCUGGGGGAUGAGGAAGGACAGUAUCCCCGGCAUAAGGAUCGGCUAACUACGUGCCAGCACCCGCGGUAACACCUAGGAUCCGAGCGUUAUCCGAAUUGACUGGACGUAUAGCGCUUGCCCGCGGUUCGGUACGUUGGAUGUGAAAUGUCUUGGCUCAACUGGGAGAGGUCUUUCAAUACCGUCCGACUAGAGGGUGGUAGAGGGAGUUGGAAUUCCCGGUGUAGUGGUGAAAUUCGUAGAUAUCGUGAGGAACACCAGCGGCGAAGGUGGCCUCCUGGACCAUUCCUGUCGAUCUGACGCGAAAGUUAGGGGAGCGAACGGGAUUUGAAACCCCGGUAGUCCUAGCUGUAAAAGAUGUUGACUCGGCGUUGGUGGGGUAAAAGCCAUCAGUGCCGUAGCUAACCCGAUAAGUCAACCGCCU
rnacentral:rRNA from 1 species